AGAACGAACGCUGGCGGCAGGCCUAACACAUGCAAGUCGAACGCCCCGCAAGGGGAGUGGCAGACGGGUGAGUAACACGUGGGAACGUGCCCAAAGGUACGGAACAACUCCGGGAAACUGGAGCUAAUACCGUAUGUGCCCGAAAGGGAAAGAUUCAUCGCCUUUGGAUCGGCCCGCGUCUGAUUAGCUAGUUGGCGGGGUAAUGGCCCAUCGAGGCGACGUA
rnacentral:rRNA from 1 species